rnacentral:rRNA from 1 species
UCGAGAAUCAUUCACAAUGGGGGAAACCCUGAUGGUGCGACGCCGCGUGGAGGAUAAGGUCUUCGGAUUGUAAACUCCUGUCAUGUGAGAGUAAGGAUUUGCGGGUAACUCCGUAAAUUUUGAUAGUAUCACAAGAGGAAGAGACGGCUAACUCUGUGCCAGCAGCCGCGGUAAUACAGAGGUCUCAAGCGUUGUUCGGAAUCACUGGGCGUAAAGGGUGCGUAGGCGGCGUGGAAAGUCAGAUGUGAAAUCCGGGGGCUCAACCUCCGAAUUGCAUCCGAUACUACCAUGCUAGAGAACUGGAGGGGAGUCUGGAAUUCUUGGUGUAGCAGUGAAAUGCAUAGAUAUCAAGAGGAACACUAGUGGCGAAGGCGAGACUCUGGACAGUAUCUGACGCUCAUGCACGAAGGUCAGGGUAGCGAACGG